GGAGGGGCCCUGGCUCAGUGGCAGAGCAUUUGUUUUACAUGCACAAGGUCCCAGGUUCAAUUCCCAGCUUCUCCA